GUGGGGAAUAUUGGACAAUGGGCGAAAGCCUGAUCCAGCCAUGCCGCGUGUGUGAAGAAGGUCUUCGGAUUGUAAAGCACUUUAAGUUGGGAGGAAGGGCAGUAAGUUAAUACCUUGCUGUUUUGACGUUACCGACAGAAUAAGCACCGGCUAACUUCGUGCCAGCAGCCGCGGUAAUACGAAGGGUGCAAGCGUUAAUCGGAAUUACUGGGCGUAAAGCGCGCGUAGGUGGUUUUGUAAGUUGGAGGUGAAAUCCCCGGGCUCAACCUGGGAACUGCCUCCAAAACUGCAUGACUAGAGUUCGGUAGAGGGUAGUGGAAUUUCCUGUGUAGCGGUGAAAUGCGUAGAUAUAGGAAGGAACACCAGUGGCGAAGGCGACUACCUGGACUGAUACUGACACUGAGGUGCGAAAGCGUGGGGAGCAAACAGGAUUAGAUACCCGGGUAGUCC
rnacentral:rRNA from 1 species